ACACUAAUGGUGUAAUGGUAACAUAACCGCCUUCCACUGGCCAACGAACGCGUUGAAACAGUUAGCAGUUGCCUAGGGUUCGAUUCCCUAUUAGUGUA